rnacentral:rRNA from 1 species
AUUGAACGCUGGCGGCAUGCCUUACACAUGCAAGUCGAACGGCAGCACGGGUGCUUGCACCUGGUGGCGAGUGGCAAACGGGUGAGUAAUACAUCGGAACGUACCUUAUCGUGGGGGAUAACGCAGCGAAAGCUGUGCUAAUACCGCAUACGCCCUGAGGGGGAAAGCGGGGGAUCGAAAGACCUCGCGCGAUUAGAGCGGCCGAUGCCUGAUUAGCUUGUUGGUGGGGUAAAAGCCCACCAAGGCGACGAUCAGUAGCUGGUCUGAGAGGACGAUCAGCCACCCUGGGACUGAGACACGGCCCAGACUCCUACGGGAGGCAGCAGUGGGGAAUUUUGGACAAUGGGGGCAACCCUGAUCCAGCAAUGCCGCGUGAGUGAAGAAGGCCUUCGGGUUGUAAAGCUCUUUUGUCAGGGAAGAAACACCGGCUCUAACACAGUCCGGGAAUGACGGUACCUGAAGAAUAAGCACCGGCUAACUACGUGCCAGCCGCCGCAGUAA